CACAUGGGAUUUCACACAAAAAUACAUCACGCUCAAGUGAUCCAUUUUAAAGCAAAGGAAGAUUUAUUGUCCUGGAAGGAUCUGCACCUGGAUCUGCCAAUGAAAGACCUCAGCUGAUUCCUCAGGAGUUUUCAUCUCUGAAGAUGGAAGUGAACGGUGAGCCUAUCCUGCCUGAGACUGAACAGGACAUUGCAAAGAUUGUGCAAUGCAGUUUUGCCCUUUACCUGUGACGACGUGGACACUGGUGCUAUGACUCACCCACAAGAAGAUGAAAUUCCAUCAUUCCCCCUCCAUUACUCACUGGCAUUUGAGAAAUAAAGCCUGUGGCCAGGUAACUUGCUGGAUGAACCUCAGAACCUUAGAAUUCUCUGAACAAGUGAGACAACCAAUCCUAAAUGGCAAAUAGCUUUUAAAAAUGGAAAUGAAAAUGCCCAGGCAAGUAGUUCAUUGCAGGGGCCCCUUUCUUAGAUGAACUAUCACAGGGGCAUAAGGAAACAGGAAAGAUCAAUUGUAUAUAAAUCUAUAAAAAUGUUAAUGAGCUGAUUAGCUCAGAGAAACAUUCUAUUUGUCUCUUAAACAAAAUUGAUUGCUUCAAAGACCUUGUCUGUGCAGACUGGAAAAGAAAAAAAAAGCUUCAACUGUAUAAAAGUUCUCUUGCACCUUCAGAAAAAAUUAAAAUACGUACCUGCAUAUUUUGGGUUUCUACACUACCUUUCUUCUGAAGGGCAUAAAGUACCUGUAUAAUCAAUUGUCUCUGCAAUGUCCUCAGGAGAUAUGAGGGGGAAUUAAAGGGGAAGCUGAAUGACAGAGACAGUCAGUGAAGAGACAGUCCACAGUCAUCAAAGU